rnacentral:misc_RNA from 1 species
GAUGAAGAACGCAGCGAAAUGCGAUAAGUAAUGUGAAUUGCAGAAUUCAGUGAAUCAUCGAAUCUUUGAACGCACAUUGCGCCCCCUGGCAUUCCGGGGGGCAUGCCUGUUCGAGCGUCAUUACAACCCUCAAGCUCUGCUUGGUAUUGGGCUCUGCUGGGACCGGCAGGCCUUAAAAUCAGUGGCGGCGCCACUCGGCUUCAAGCGUAGUAAUUCUUCUCGCUUCGGAGACCCGGGUGCGUGCUAGCCAGCAACCCCCAACUUUCUUAGGUUGACCUCGGAUCAGGUAGGGAUACCCGCUGAACUUAAGCAUAUCAAUAACGGAGGA